UUUAUAGGCCAAGUGCUGAAGAGCCUCAAGAGAUUAUGAAAUAAUCCAAAUGGAAGUGCUUGAAAGACUGUUUCUUGGGAUACAGAGAACCAGUCUGGAAAAACACCAUGGAGACAAGACUCUGGGGAUCAACCCUCCCUUAGCUCUUGGUUAUGGAUCAAACAAGCUUUUUCCAUCUGUGUUUUCUUCCAUGAAACAUAACCCCUCUGGAUCCAGUGCAAGGAGCACCAAGGAGCAGGAGGAGAGGGGAGGUGCCACCUGUAUCCAGUUGUUUCAUCAGUUCCUUGCAGCCCACUUGCAAGAAAAGCCAAGUGAAUCUCAGAAGACACGAGCAGUUAUUCACCUGAGAAUGGGAGGCGCCUGAUUUUGAUGGAUGAUGCUAAGCAUGGACGAAAUCACCAUCUUGGUCUCAAAACCAGCCAGUAAGAUAUGGUGGGUUUGUCUGCCUUAUCUCUCUGAAGAUGCCCUCCAUUAUAAAUCUGCUGGAUACAAGGACCCUGGGAUGCUUUUUGGAGUAGGUAGCUGCCACUCAUUGAUCAGGAAGCUGAAUGUUGUCACAAUCCUGUUUGCUAUGAGCUGUGGAUGCUUAGCACCUCGUAGGGUGUUUCUCGGGAUGGAAGACUCUUUCUCAAGUCUCACAGUGAUAAAUUCUCAUCCUUCUUUGCUCCUUGGAAUUAACAUGCAUGCAACCAGCUCUCUGCACUCCUCCAAGUUAACAGCCCUGUCUGUUUGUUCUGAUUUGCGUGGUUUUUGUACUGCUCCCCACCUCCAACACAACAUCAAGACAUCAGAAAUUGUAUAUCAAACCCAAUAACUUAUAAUUUCUGUAACUGUCCAAAUCUUGUUGUUAGCUGCUGUAAGAAGGGUGAGAUGUGUUUUGUCAGUGUAACAGAAAGGGGACUCAGAAAGGUAUGGCGGUUUUGUCAGACUCUGAUGUUUGUCCUCCAAUAAAUAUUUCAUGAAUGUUGUGGACA
rnacentral:lncRNA from 1 species